AAAUAACAAAUGGAACAAUUACAAAGAAAGAAUAUAAAAAGGGUUUCCAAAUGGAUAAUGUAUAAGAACUUAAAAAAAAUAAUAAAGGAACUUAAAAAUAAAUAGUAUAUAAAAAUUUUAAAAUGAAUUACAUAUAAAACAGUUUAGGUUAAAUACUGUAUGGGCCCAAUUUUGCCCUGCCCGUUUAAACAAAAACUAAAAAAUAAAGACAGUUCAUGUUACAUAAAUCCCAAAUACAAGGCCCAAAUCCUGCCCAUUUUACAAACAGACCCUAAACCCCUAACCCAAUCGGCCUAAUAGGCCCAGUGUCCAAACUGGGUCUCAGCUAGCCGAAACCCUAGCCAGCCUCAGCGCUGCGCCUCCCCUCUGCUGCCCACUUGCUUCAGCAGCGCAUUCGACGCUCGAGGACCGACUUUGCCCGUCCUUUGCACCAAAACGGAAGCCCCUCUCGUUGACCCUCCUCCCAACCUGCAAACAGACCAUAAAGGGGAACAGAAACAACGCAAUACGCAAAGGCAACAGAGACCAAGAAAUGUGUAUUUGGCUAUAUAGCCAAGAGAACAAAAUGUAACUUUUUUUCGGACACACGGAUUGAAAUACAAAAAAGAAUCAAUCAAAAAAGAAAUCGAAACAAUAUUCGACAAAAAAGGUGGUCUCUUAUUCUGUUCUUAUACUUCUUUUCUUUACGAGUUUAUGCAAUAGAUAGUUUAUACAUAUAUUCAAAAAGGAAGGGAUAUCGUUACCUUGCUGGAGGUCGGAGAAGUCGGAGCCGAACGGUUCCCGUGGCUCGAUCUGAUUCUCUAAGGGGUUUUCGUUUGUUUAGAACUUGAGUUUGGAGUGAAGGGAACGAGGGGAUCGAUUUGGGGCCAUUUUUGCACCUCCGGUUGCCGUGGAAGGCAGACGUCGGCGACGGACGGGCAGCAAUUCGAUGGCCGAAAAUCGCCUAGGCCGGAGGAACCUAUCUCUCUCUCUCUCCCUUUUUUUUUAAAUGCACUGAUGAAAUGAUGAUGUUUCAAAAAAAAUUUUGAUUUUAUAGACAUA
rnacentral:lncRNA from 1 species